rnacentral:rRNA from 1 species
UACGUAGGGGGCAAGCGUUGUCCGGAAUUAUUGGGCGUAAAGCGCGUGUAGGCGGCCAGAUAAGUCCGCUGUCGAAAUCUCGAGGCUCAACUUCGAGCUGUCGGUGGAAACUGUCUGGCUAGAGUCCGGAAGAGGAGAAUGGAAUUCCUGGUGUAGCGGUGAAAUGCGCAGAUAUCAGGAAGAACACCCGUGGCGAAGGCGGUUCUCUGGGACGGUACUGACGCUGAGACGCGAAAGCGUGGGGAGCGAACAGG